GGGUGCACAGCGGGACCGUGCUGGGCGGGGUGCUGGGCCAGAAGCGCUGGCAGUACGACGUCUGGUCCACCGACGUCACCCUCGCCAACAAGAUGGAGGCCGGCGGCAUUCCCGGGCGGGUGCACAUCUCCCAGAGCACCCUGGACUGCCUGCGGGGCGAGUUCGAGGUGGAGCCGGGGGAAGGGGGGUCCCGCUGCGAGUACCUGCGUGAGAGGGGCAUCGUCACCUACCUGGUGGUGGUGCCGCGGCAGCCCCUGCGCCGAGGCAUCAACGGCGUCAAGCUGUCGCUCAGCUCCACCCCCGGUGCCGAUGUCACCCCC